rnacentral:rRNA from 1 species
UAGGGAAUCUUCGGCAAUGGGGGCAACCCUGACCGAGCAACGCCGCGUGAGUGAGGAAGGUUUUCGGAUCGUAAAGCUCUGUUGUAAGAGAAGAACGUGUGUGAGAGUGGAAAGUUCACACAGUGACGGUAACUUACCAGAAAGGGACGGCUAACUACGUGCCAA